rnacentral:rRNA from 1 species
CCCACCACUCCCGUCCAAAACCCCACCCCACCUACCUACCCACUCCCUUCCCUCUCGCCGCCGCAGCCGCAGCCCGACGCUUCGCCGCAGCCAGAGGCCAUUCUGCACUCCCCACUCCGCCCCGGAGAGCAGGCCUCGACCCCGAGAGGGAUACCCGAAUGUCGGCGAUGAUGGGGGCGCGGCUGGACCUGGCGCCCUUCCUCCUUUCCCCGUCGCCGUCGCCCUCGCGGCCGUCCCCCGCCCUCCGCCUCCGGACCUCAUCGCCGACCGCGGCGGCGGCGGCGAGGACCCGCUUGCUCGCCCCGAGGGCUGCCGCGGCGGCGACCGCCGUCUCCGCCAAGCCGGCGGCGGCCGCGCCGCUGUCCGCCGACCGCUCCGUCGUCCGCCUCGGGCUCCCCAGCAAGGGCCGCAUGGCCGAGCUAACCCUAAGCCUCCUCAAGAGUUGCCAGUUGUCGGUGAGGCAGCUCAACCCGCGGCAGUACACCGCCGACAUCCCGCAGGUUCCAAAUUUGGAGGUUUGGUUUCAGAGGCCCACGGAUAUUGUUCGUAAACUAUGUUCAGGGGAUCUUGAUCUUGGUAUUGUGGGUUAUGACAUAAUUAGUGAAUAUGCACAGGGCAAUGAUGAUCUAGUUAUUAUUCAUGAUGCCCUCGAUUUCGGACAUUGUCGCCUGUCCCUUGCGGUGCCGAAGGAAGGUAUUUUUGAUAGCAUCAAUACUCUAGAGGAUUUGUUAAAUAUGCCUCAGUGGACUGAAGAAAGACCAAUGCGGGUCGUUACAGGAUUUGGUUAUGUAGGUGCAAAGUUUUUGAAAGAAAAGGGUUUCAAGCAUGUUUCAUUUUUAGCUGGUGAUGGUGCUCUCGAGUCAUAUCCUGCUAUGGGUAUGGCUGACGCUAUUGUGGAUCUUGUGAGUAGUGGAACGACUUUGCGUGAGAAUAAUUUGAAGGAAAUUGAAGGUGGAGUAAUUUUGGAAAGCCAGGCAACACUUGUAGCAAGUAAGAAAUCUCUGAACAGACGUGAGGGUGUGUUAGAGAUUUCACAUGAGAUGCUUGAAAGAUUGGAGGCUCACCUCACAGCGUCUGGCAAGAUAAUGGUAACAGCAAAUAUGAGGGGCAAUAGUGCAGAAGAAGUGGCUGAGAGAGUUCUCAGCCAAACAUCAUUAUGUGGAUUACAGGGCCCAACUAUAAGCCCAGUGUAUUGCACGCUUGAUGGCAAUGUUGCUGUGGACUACUAUGCUAUUAAUGUUGUAGUUCCCCAAAAGUCGCUUUACAAGUCUAUUCAACAACUGAGAUCUAUUGGUGGCAGCGGAGUCUUGGUGUCGAAACUGACCUACAUAUUUGACGAGGAGACUCCUAGGUGGCGCAAACUUCUCUCUGAGCUGGGAAUGUGAGACUUGCUGCAAGGUCGGCCAUGCCCUCCGCUAGAAUGGACCGUCUCAGUGAGCAUCUGAACUUAUGCUCGCUGUAGUGUGUACAUCAUACACAGAAGCGACCCGAGUUUGAAAAAAAAACCCGUAUGCAAAGUGAGCUCCCAUGUGGAUUGCCUGAGGAGAUUUCGAUAUCUAGCGCCGGAUAUUGUGCUCAGCUAACGUAUUCCCUGGACAGGCAGUGGUUGGUUUAUCCCUUUUAUGUGCCACCAGUCGAUAGGGUUGGGGGUCCGGGAUGUUGGGUGUAUGUUGUUUGUGUGUGCCGGAUCUUGCACCUUUUGUUGGUGCGGCCCUGAAUAAUUGGGGCUACCUGAUAUGAUGACAAUAAUGAAUCCCAUUGUGGUUUGGUCUCC